CGUGCGGGCCUAGCUUGCGGCCGGUGCCGCGGGACGUCGACCGCAAGGGGGCUGAUCUGGCGUUCAAUCAGUGCAGCUCAGGAGGCAAAACGUGCACGGAUCAUGAUUUCCCCUGACGAGGUGUGCUGCAGUUUUGCUUUUCCAUGCGCUGAGCCAACAGCGGUGAAACGAAUCACUCGACGUACGUACUCUUUUGCUGAAUGUGACAUUACAUCAUGUCAUGAAAUAUUGACGUGAUCAUUUGACAGUGCGGCAAAGUUGACACACAACUCAGUAACUCGAUUAAUUUAACCAGAUUUAAAACUAGUAAACAUUUUAAAAUCUGUUUUUACAGACACAGCUUUUGGUUCGCUAACCUUAGCACAACUGCUGGAAAAAUAAAAUCGAUGCAAAGUUCAUUAUUGACUGCAAUAAUUUUUUUUGAGGUGGGGGGGCAUUGUAUAUGCGAUUUGUGCGUUAUGUCAAGAUGUUAAUAUCAAGGUACUGGUUUUACUUUUUCAGGCUUGUGUUAACGCCAAUCAAAGCUGAUACUGGUUUGCUAUACUGAACGGUGUUGAUUUUCUCACUCAAAAGUAAAUCAACACCGAUGCGUGUUGAUUUACCUUUGCGGACCUCAACUGCGGCUUUACCGUCACAUAAAAGAAUGAAUCGAAUGUUUGCAGUUGGUUUCUCAUUGUGAUUGUCGCAUUAUGUCUCUGUACAUGAAAUCAUCCUGAAAGCUGUGUUGUCAAAUAAUUCCGAUUGGGGCAUACAACGAAUGGACAGUGUCACCCCUCAUUCGGACAAAUGACCUCAUUUGUGUGUGUGUGUGUGUGUGUUUUAAACGUGACAUUGCCAGUGAGAGUCCUGUGGUCUCUUUUCUUUUGGAAGACGUUGAAGCACUGAUCGAGUGGGGAAACGUGUUAUUUGUAUGCAGAUGACUUAUUUCAACCCUGAGUGUAAGUGCACUGCCUUUCUUUUAUUUCUGUAAAUCUUGGAUUAGAUUUUGAAAUAUUUUGUCUAUGUCUAAAAUUUUUGACUUGAUUGUGAAAUAAACAGAUUGUUUUGUC